GUACUUCGGAGGUACAUAUACUGAAGUUGGAACGCUACAGAGAAGACAAGUAUGGCCUCUGCACAAGGACGACAUGCAAAAUAGUGGGGCGUGCCUUAUUUUU
rnacentral:snRNA from 1 species